CAGUCAUUAUUUAUUUGAUAGUACCUUUACCUGGAUAACCGUGGUAAUUCUAGAGCUAAUACAUGCUAAAAGCCCCGACUCGCGGAGGGGUGUGUUUAUUAGAUUAAAAACCAAUGCCCUCCGGGGCUACCUGGUGAUUCAUAAUAACCCAACGAAUCGCAUGGCCUUGCGCCGGCGAUGGUUCAUUCAAAUUUCUGCCCUAUCAACUUUCGAUGGUAGGAUAGUGGCCUACCAUGGUUUCAACGGGUAACGGGGAAUUAGGGUUCUAUUCCGGAGAGGGAGCCUGAGAAACGGGCUACCACAUCCAAGGAAGGCAGCAGGCGCGCAAAUUACCCAAUCCCGACACGGGGAGGUAGUGACAAUAAAUACUGAUGCAGAGCUCUUUUGGGUUUUGCAAUUGGAAUGAGAACAGCGUAAACACCUUAACGAGGAACAAUUGGAGGGCAAGUCUGGUGCCAGCAGCCGCGGUAAUUCCAGCUCCAAUAGCGUAUAUUAAAGUUGUUGCAGUUAAAAAGCUCGUAGUUGAACCUUGGGCCUGGCCGUCCGGUCCGCCUCACCGCGUGCACUGGUUCGGCCGGGCCUUUCCUUCUGGGGAACCGCAUGCCCUUCGUUGGGUGUGCUGGGGAUCCAGGACUUUUACUUUGAAUAAAUCAGAGUGCUCAAAGCAGGCCUUUGCUCGCAUGAUUCAGCAUGGAAUAAUAGAAUAGGACGUGCGGUUCUAUUUUGUUGGUUUCUAGGACCGCCGUAAUGAUUAAUAGGGAUAGUCGGGGGCAUCAGUAUUCAAUUGUCAGAGGUGAAAUUCUUGGAUUUAUUGAAGACUAACUACUGCGAAAGCAUUUGCCAAGGAUGUUUUCAUUAAUCAGUGAACGAAAGUUAGGGGAUCGAAGACGAUCAGAUACCGUCGUAGUCUUAACCAUAAACUAUGCCGACUAGGGAUCGGACGGUGUUAUUAUUUUGACCCGUUCGGCACCUUACGAGAAAUCAAAGUUCUUGGGUUCUGGGGGGAGUAUGGUCGCAAGGCUGAAACUUAAAGAAAUUGACGGAAAGGCACCACCAGGCGUGGAGCCUGCGGCUUAAUUUGACUCAACACGGGGAAACUCACCAGGUCCAGAUACAGUAAGGAUUGACAGAUUGAGAGCUCUUUCUUGAUUUUGUAGUUGGUGGUGCAUGGCCGUU
rnacentral:rRNA from 1 species